ACGCUCGACACCUACGGGGGCAGCAGUGGGGAAUAUUGCACAAUGGGGGAAACCCUGAUGCAGCGACGCCGCGUGAGCGAAGAAGUAUUUCGGUAUGUAAAGCUCUAUCAGCAGGGAAGAAGAAAGACGGUACCUGACUAAGAAGCCCCGGCUAACUACGUGCCAGCAGCCACGGUAAUCUGAGCGGGCUGGCAAGGC
rnacentral:rRNA from 1 species